rnacentral:rRNA from 1 species
CCUACGGGUGGCAGCAGUGAGGAAUAUUGGUCCAUGGGGGGAACCCUGACCGAGCAACGCCGCGUGAACGAAGACGUUAUUCGUAAUGUAAAGUUCUUUUAACAGGGAAGAAAGAGACAUUUGACGGUACCUGAAGAAUAAGCUCCGGCUAACUACGUGACAGCAGCCUCGGUAAUACGUAGGGAGCGAGCGGUAUCCGGAAUUAUUGGGCGAAAAGGGUGCGUAGAUGGCAUAGUAAGUCUUUUGUAAAAAUGCUGGGCUAAACCCAGUAGGGCAAAAGAUACUGCAAAGCUAGAGUAUGACAGAGGCAAGUGGAACGACAGGUGUAGCGGGAAAAUGCGUAAAUAUAUGUAAGAACACCAGUGGCGAAGGCGGCUUGCUGGGUCGAUACUGACAUUGAGGCACGAAAGCGUGGGGAGCAAACAGGAUUAGAUACCCGGGUAGUC